rnacentral:rRNA from 1 species
ACGGAAGGCAGCAGUGAGGAAUAUUGGUCAAUGGGCGGAAGCCUGAGCCAGCCAGGUCGCGUGAAGGAUGAAGGUAUUAUGUAUUGUAAACUUCUUUAGCCAGGGGGCAAUAAGGCGUACGCGUACGCCGAUGAGAGUACCUGGAGAAUAAGGAUCGGCUAACUCCGUGCCAGCAGCCGCGGUAAUACGGAGGAUCCGAGCGUUAUCCGGAUUUAUUGGGUUUAAAGGGUGCGCAGGCGGCUUUCUAAGUCAGUGGUUAAAUCGUGACGCUCAACGUCAUCACGCCAUUGAUACUGGAGAGCUUGAUUGCGGUCGAGGUUUGCGGAAUUCGUCGUGUAGCGGUGAAAUGCAUAGAUAUGACGAAGAACACCGAUUGCGUAGGCAGCAGACCAGGCCGUAAAUGACGCUCAUGCACGAAAGUGCGGGGAUCGAACAGGAUUAGAUACCCUGGUA